rnacentral:rRNA from 1 species
GAACCUUACCAGGUCUUGACAUCUAGUGCCAACCUAAGAGAUUAGGCGUUCCCUUCGGGGACACUAAGACAGGUGGUGCAUGGCUGUCGUCAGCUCGUGUCGUGAGAUGUUGGGUUAAGUCCCGCAACGAGCGCAACCCUUAUUAUUAGUUGCCAGCAUUAAGUUGGGCACUCUAAUGAGACUGCCGGUGACAAACCGGAGGAAGGUGGGGAUGACGUCAAGUCAUCAUGCCCCUUAUGACCUGGGCUACACACGUGCUACAAUGGGCAGUACAACGAGGAGCGAACUUGUGAAGGCAAGCGAAUCUCUGAAAGCUGUUCUCAGUUCGGACUGUAGGCUGCAACUCGCCUACACGAAGCUGGAAUCGCUAGUAAUCGCGGAUCAGCACGCCGUCGGUGAAUACGUUCCCGGGUCUUGUACACACCGCCU